UGAAAAACAGGAUUUUUUUUCGGUUCUAAGUCAGGCAGAGUUAUCCAGGUAUUGCAGUAUAGUAUGCUGAGCAUUUAUGGGUGGAGCCUCAAUAGUGCUUGGCGUGUGGCUUAUUUAGUGAUUCAAAUACACAACAACGCACCAUUAAACUUUGGUGCGCUGAUGACUCUUGUUGAUUCCUCAAGGUACAAAUGUGAGGCCUCCUCACUCCUGUGGCACCAGCUGGUCUGCAGAAAGAGCAGGAAAACACACAUCUUUAGUAAGACUGAGCAUUUGCAUUUAGGAAAAACUAAUAAAGGUACAUGCUGCCUUACUGUUAUUGGAAGAAAAAGGAACAUGUCAUGUAACCCCUCCUUACACAGCUAUAGAUGCUUUAAUACGAUUAUAAAGUCUUACCCUGUCUCUUGCCUGCUAAAUGAUCCUUUCAGCUGCUGCUAGGUGGCUCUAGGCGGUGUACCUGCACUCCAGGCUGACCUAGCCCAUCUGGUGCCAUUGUACUCAAGGCAGCCCAUGUCCUCAGGAAAGCUGUUUCAUUACUAUUGCCCUGUUGAGGUUCUAGGAUUUAACUAGAUACAAACGUCACUAUCGUGAUUUCAUGUUCUAGAUGUCGUUGGAUCUGAAAGAGAUUUGAAAAACAAUUAAAAACAAGUCAUUUCCCUUGUUUGUUUUUUUAAACAUUGUUUACCAGCAAGCACAAACCACUGCAAAUCAUGUAAACUAAUUUUACCCAUUUUGGUGCAAAUCAAAGACACAACAAGAAUACUGCCCUAAAGGGAAUCUUUAAGCAGGUGGUGCAGACAGUUGCUCUCUCCUUUUACCUCCUGACUGCUUUUUACCUAGUUUUCCUUGUUGUUUGUGUUCUUGUCAACUCUGAUAGCAUGAGAAUUCUUCUGGACAAGCUAGUGAUUGGAUGAUAGACAAUGUCAUCACGGGACCCCUAUCAAAUCUGGAUCAGGCAUCAGUGAGCUCCUAGAAAAUUCAAGUUGUCAUUUCACAGUUACUUUUAUUUGCACCAAAGCAAGUAAAAUUGAUUUACAAUUGUUCCUAAAUGGACAGAUUGAAAUUUAGUUGAGUAGGUAUUGUACUGUGUGCGGUUUUUUGAGCAAAGUGAAAACUAAUCUUACUCCACAAGCUGACCUUUACUCAACUGGUUGAACCAGUUCAUGUUUUAAGUCCAGAUGCAACUACACAUUUGAGUGAUUGCAUCUGGCCACUUCUUCCAGAUCAUAUGCGGGACACUUAGUCACUCGCAAUCUAGUCAUGAUACACAAUCUCCUCUGUCAGUCCUGAGGCCUCCUUCAGGUUGGAGAAGGCUAGAAACACAUCACCAUGCUCCAUUUGAUGUGAAGGACAAGCAAUUUUACCCUCAAAUGACCAAGCUCCUCACUCCAUCUCUAAGGGAGAGCCCCGCUCCUCUAUGAAGGAAGCUCACAAUCCAUCACUACAGAUGUGUGCAUCAGAGCACCAGGACCUCUGCCCGAUCCACAAAUCCCAAAAUAGUGUCCCACAGAAGAAUUGACCCAUUUAGCUUCUUCAGCUUGAGCCUGGCUGGGCCACCUGGAGUUCGCCCUUGAGCCAUCCCCUCAGGCUUGGCUUCAGAUUAGGACCCCGGUAGCCAUGUCCCAGAAAGGGUAUACUGGUAUCUUGAUUUUUCUUGGCAUUGGAGUUAUCUAAAUCACUUUUCCCUGCAUAUUCUUUUGAUUGGAUCAUGAUGCCCAACAUUUCAACAUGCUCAUACGACUACAGAUAAGUCGAAUACACAACGCAUUUAAAAUAGGUAUUUAUUUAAGUUUCCCACACGGGCAGGUUGGGGCACGCUUUCGGUUCCCCAUCCGCUGACUUCCCAGGUUGGGGCACGCUUGCAGUUCCCCAUCUGCCGACGCCCUCAGUUGGGGCAUGUGCUUGCCUUCCUCAUCUGCCAACGUGCCAAGUUGGGGCCCGCUUGCGUUUCCC
ensembl:lncRNA